GAUGAACGCUGGCGGCGUGCCUAAUACAUGCAAGUCGAGCGAACGGACGAGAAGCUUGCUUCUCUGAUGUUAGCGGCGGACGGGUGAGUAACACGUGGAUAACCUACCGAUAAGACUGGGAUAACUUCGGGAAACCGGAGCUAAUACCGGAUAAUAUUUUGAACCGCAUGGUUCAAAAGUGAAAGACGGUCUUGCUGUCACUUAUAGAUGGAUCCGCGCUGCAUUAGCUAGUUGGUAAGGUAACGGCUUACCAAGGCAACGAUGCAUAGCCGACCUGAGAGGGUGAUCGGCCACACUGGAACUGAGACACGGUCCAGACUCCUACGGGAGGCAGCAGUAGGGAACCUUCCGCAAUGGGCGAAAGCCUGACGGAGCAACGCCGCGUGAGUGAUGAAGGUCUUCGGAUCGUAAAACUCUGUUAUUAGGGAAGAACAUAUGUGUAAGUAACUGUGCACAUCUUGACGGUACCUAAUCAGAAAGCCACGGCUAACUACGUG
rnacentral:rRNA from 1 species